rnacentral:rRNA from 1 species
CAGAGGGUGCGAGCGUUAAUCGGAAUUACUGGGCGUAAAGCGUGCGUAGACGGUUAUUUAAGUCGGGUGUGAAAGCCCCCGGGCUCAACCUGGGAAUUGCAUUCGAGACUGAAUAGCUAGGGUACGGUAGAGGGAAGUGGAAUUUCCGGUGUAGCGGUGAAAUGCGUAGAUAUCGGAAGGAACAUCAGUGGCGAAAGCGACUUCCUGGACCAGUACCGACGUUCAGGCACGAAAGCGUGGGGAGCAAACAGGAUUAGAUACCCUGGUAGUCCACGCCAUAAACGAUGAGGACUAGACGUUGGAGGGGUAAGCCUUUCAGUGUCGUAGCUAACGCGCUAAGUCCUCCGCCUGGGGAGUACGGCCGCAAGGUUG